AGCUUUGCGCAGUGGCAGUAUCGUAGCCUAUGAGGUUUAUCUGAGGCGUCAUUUUUGCUAGUUGAAAACUUUACCCAAUACCCUGCCAUAGCAAACUUGAAAAAUAGUUGACUAUGGCAAUUUUUAGCAGUCUCUAGAGAGA